GCAGCUCUCCUUCCUCCUCCCCACUGAAUAUGAUUAUUGGUUGAUCAAUUUAAAUUUUUAGUUCGAUUAAAGAUUGCGUAGAGGAGUGAAUGAUCUGAUUAGUGCUUUCUAUGCUAUCUAUUGCUUACAGAAUCUUCUCUUCAAAUGAUGGGCCAUAGAUAGUUGGAGAAGGCUGAUAUUGUGAAUAGAGCAUAUCGUAAUAAGAUACAUCUAUGAGUGUAGAUCCUUGUAGUAUCGGGGUAACCACUGAUUGUGGUUUUCAUAAAAAAUCUGAUUGAACCCCCCAGCCUGGAUGGUAGGCAUUAAAGUAUGGAUUAUUUUCUGAUCUAUAGGCUAUUUGGAUUUGAUCUUGAUGAACUUGCUCAUACAUAAACUCAGAAAAUUGGUGCAUAGUUGGAUAUUCAACUUGUUGUGCAGAAAAAGAUGGAGAAGGAGAGUGUCUAAUAACUAAUAGACAAUCUAAUUUAUAGGAUAGCUCAUCCACUCUACCGUAGAAAUCCAUAUUCCUAGCAUGGAUCUAAUUUUAUUGGAUUGUUCUGAUUAUUUUGAUAUGCAAUCAAAGGGUUUAGAUCAGAACAAUUCUCUUCUGAUUAUUUUAUUUUAUUUUAUUUUAUUUUAUUUUGAAGAAUGAGAAGAGGGACGAGGAGAGAGAGUUCUAAAGAUAAGAGCCCAAAAGAUCCUAGAUUUAAGAGAUAGGUGCAAAGAAUUAGUUAAUAUUUGAUGUUAAUUAUAAUCAAAUUAAAUAAAAAUGGACUCUUUGUAACACCCAGAGCUAGCAAAGUGGUAAUCUAAGAGAUUUACAAUUGUAUUUAGCAUUCAUGUAUAUGUAGUAUAGCACUUUAUCAUAUAUUUGAGCCUUUAAAUGUUGAUUAAGCCAUGGUAAUAAAGCUUAAGUAUGUUGUUAGUUAAGAAGAAAAAUGAUUGAGAAAAG
rnacentral:lncRNA from 1 species